AUGUAUAACUGCUACCGUAACAGUGCCCCCACCCUCACCGUCCUGCCCCCCUCUAGCGAGGAGCUGUCCAGUAAAACAACAGCCACACUGACGUGUCUGGCCAACAAGGGCUUCCCCUCAGACUGGAUCAUGAGCUGGAAUGUGGACGGGACCAGCCAGAAGCAGGCCAAUCCCGGGAUCCUGGAGAAGGCCGGCCUGUACAGCUGGAGCAGCACCCUGACUCUCACUGCCCAGGAGUGGACCAAGGCAGGAGGUGUGACCUGUGAAGCCCAGCAGAAAUCCCAGACUCCAGUCACCAAGACCCUGAGGAAGGUUGACAGUUCUGGGUAGGACCCCUCAGUCACACACCCCUGUGGAGAGUUCCUCUGCUUUGACACCCCUGCUGAUUCCUCUGCUUUGACUCUGUUCUGAGUUCAGAUGUUCUCUGUCUUAUUGAUCACUGACAUGUAGACUAACAGUGAGCUUUUCUUGAGUUCAUGUGUCAUUCCUCUCUGUAGACUGAGGUUGUAUCUAUCAGGUAUGAAGAGAAGACCCAGAUGCAGACCACGUUGAAUAAACAAUAGUUCAAUGUUCCAACAGGGGCAGGCAGUAGACAGGUCAAUGCAGGCAGGGGUCAGAAAACCAGAGGUCGGCAACGGUACCGGAUAGCAGGCAGACUCAGGGUCUGGGUAAGGCAGAGGCAGGCGGGCUCAGAGUCAGGACAGGCAAGGGUCAAAACCAGGAGGGCAAGAAAAGAGAGACUAGAAACAGAUCAGGAUGUGACAGUAUCAGUGUGAGAUGUGAUGUGUUCUGUUUUAUUACUAUUAGAUACUACAGGAAUGUUUGCUUUGAUGCUUUGAUUAAUGGAUGAAAAUAAAGGUUUCCUUUUGG